CCUGCCUUCUUCUCCUCCUCCUCCUCUUUCUUCUCCUCUCCUCCUCCUCCUACUCCUCUCAAUAUUUCCACUUCCUUAUAUUCCAUUUCUUAGAUCUUCUUGUUAAUCUUAUCUAAUUAUGAUAACUAAAGCUCCCAGUGCUGUUGAUUAACUUGCUAAUCGCUGAGAUUACGCAUAUGUAAAUUAAAGAUUUUGCUGCUUCUGUAGAAGAGAGCGUAUCGAUUCGAUGUCGUCGGCGAAUUCGGACAGCUCGGGCAACUCCGGGGGCGGCGCGGCAGCAGCUGGGAGCCGGAGGCCGAGUCGGUACGAGUCGCAGAAGCGGCGCGACUGGAACACGUUCCGGCAGUACCUGCGCAACCACCGGCCGCCGCUGGAGCUGUCCCGGUGCAGCGGCGCGCACGUGCUGGAGUUUUUGCGGUACCUCGACCAGUUCGGGAAGACCAAAGUCCACGCCGAGGGGUGCCCGUUCUUCGGCCACCCCCACCCGCCGGCGCCUUGCCCCUGCCCGCUCCGCCAGGCCUGGGGCUCUCUCGACGCCCUCGUCGGCCGCCUCCGCGCGGCCUUCGAGGAGAACGGAGGCGCCCCGGAGGCCAACCCCUUCGCCGCCCGCGCCGUCCGCCUCUACCUCAGGGAAGUCAGGGACAGCCAGGCCAAGGCCAGGGGCAUCGCCUACGAGAAGAAGAAGCGGAAGCGCCCGGCGCCUCCGCCGCCUCUUCAUCAACAUCAUCAUCAGCAGCAGCAGCCACUCACACUUCCCAUGGUCGUGGCUCCUCCGCCACCGCCGCCGGACGUCGUGCAGGGAUAUGCAAUUAGGCCGCCUCUGCCGCCGCCCGAACUUAGCCUUUUGAAUGGUGGCAGCUUCCAGUACCAUCACGUUCACGGCCAUCUGUUGAUGCCCUCCGUGGACACCGCCGGCGGGGAAAGUUCGGCAUCGGCGGUGGUCUUGCCGCUCUCAGUGCUCAAUUGAUUAGUCAAAUAAUAAACAUCUACUUCUAUUUGAUGAACAAGAUCAUAUAUAUGCACCAAGGGUUUGGCUCGAGGAGUACUGGAUUGAGAAGCUGAUCCUCUUCUUCUUAUUUCUUGGUGUACAGAUCUUUUCUUUUUGUUUCAUUGCUUUCCUUUGAUGUGGAGGGUUCACAUUGCAUGAAUCAAUACUGUUAUUGUUGAGGUAGCUAGCAUGAGUGAUUUUGGAAUUCUAUAUAUCUUUUCUAUGUCUCUUGAUCUUUCUCUCCCUAUUUUCCCAAGUGUUUACCUAACUAUUUUGUAGCUAUCAAUUAUAUUGGAUGCAUGUUGUUUCUUCUAGCUA